rnacentral:rRNA from 1 species
UACAGAGGUCUCAAGCGUUGUUCGGAUUCAUUGGGCGUAAAGGGUGCGUAGGUGGCGCUGUACGUCGGGUGUGAAAUUUCGGAGCUUAACUCCGAAACUGCAUUCGAUACUGCGGUGCUUGAGGACUGGAGAGGAGACUGGAAUUUAUGGUGUAGCAGUGAAAUGCGUAGAGAUCAUAAGGAAGACCAGUGGCGAAGGCGGGUCUCUGGACAGUUCCUGACACUGAGGCACGAAGGCCAGGGGAGCAAACGGG